rnacentral:rRNA from 1 species
UUGGACCUGAUAUCCAGCAAGAUUACCCGCUGAACUUUAAGCAUAUCAAUAAAACCGGGAAGAAA